ACCCCAGCCCAAUAACUUUAGGCCCAGUAAUAAAUCACCAGGGCUUGCUUCCGCACCUGCACAGACGUCAGAUGUAUUUUUCAGAAAAUCAGUUAAGUGUAAACGAUUAAGAAAGGACAGGAUGGUUGGGAAAGGAGCCGGCACGGUUGGGCAAACGGGAUCAUACAAUGAAAAACCAUACAAUGAAUAACAAAUGGUUUUUAUGUGGUUUUUCCAGGAACCUAUAGGAAAAACAAGUUUACCCUUUAAGUGACCUAUAUGCUGGAUUCAAAAGAGCCAAUGAGAUACCUGUUACUGUGCUAGGAGGGAAACUGACCACUGUACCCUAUAAAAGAUCUGUACCCCAAAGCCCGGUGUGCCAGUUCACCGAAGCUCCGGCUGAGGUUUCGCUGAGCACCCGCAGGCGCCUGUGUAGCAAUAAAUCACCUCUUGCGUUUGCAGCCAGUGCCUCGUGCGUCUUUCUUGGACAGGGAAUCGGCGGGUCUUUCAUUUGGCGAGCCAGCCAGGAGAACUCCUGUAACCCCAUCCGGAUCCCUGCCCGAGGAACACCCGAUAACCACUGGGAGGUAAGCUGGCCAGUUCGUGUCAUUUUGUGUCUCUCUCUGUCUGGUUGUUAUCUUGUUAUCUGUUCAUGCGCAGCGUCUGUACGAUUACGCGUAAUUGCUCUGUAUUCUGGGCAGCUUGAGAAGGAGUUGACGAACUCGGACUUCUCCCCUGCCACCCUGGGAGACGUCCCAGGGGCUCAGGGAGGCCCAUCUUGGGGGGGCCUCCAAUGUUCUGUAGAGUACACUGUACUCGUGGGUGACGGAGGUGACGGUAUCCCUCCUCUCCCUAAUCCGUCAGGUACGUUCGGUUUGUGCUCGAGCCGCGCAGCGUUCUCUGUGUCCAGUCUGAUAUUUGUGUCUGUCUUCUUGCCUUUGCACUUUCUCACUCCAUCUAAGACUAACAUGGGGCAAUCCAUAACAACUCCUUUGAGUCUCACCCUUGACCAUUGGCAGGACGUCCGAAAUCGGGCAGACAACCAGUCAGUAAAAAUUAAGAAGAAAAAAAAAAUGCCUAAUGCCUAAGGUCAAACCAAACUGGAGGAACUGAUCCUAUGGGUGAAAGAUAGGAUUAAGGGACUCCCAGCAGCUGCCAGAGCCAUUUAGCUCUGGGGAGUUCCCUGGGUCCUUAUCUACAUCUUAGGGAUUACACCACCUCUGUUUACUUAAAAAGAAGGGACACUGAAUGCAGUAAAGCCAGUCACACUGAGACCCUUGAUUUUACACCUAUAGUUGCCCCUACGUGAAAACAUCUGGUCCACUCAUGGGAAAGUCUAUGGUGCCACUGAUGGGAGUCAUAAUUAAAUGAAAGUUCAAAACCUGGAGAGAUAUUUUCUUAUCUGGUUGUCUGAUUGUUUCUUAGGGAUAAUCUAGGUUAAAUGUGUGUCCAAAAAAAAAAAAAAUAAUAAUAAUAAUUUUUAUUGUAACAAUCUGGUAUCUGAAUGGGUUUCUAAAGCAUUGCACUAUCUUGCAGUUAAAAGUUGGGUUUAAGCAAUUGUUUAGUUUGAUUUCAGAUAGUUCAUGCUAGAAAACUUAAAUACUUGGGAUAAAAAAAUUAAAGAGUUUCAAUUUUGAACUGGGUAGCCUGAAAAGAAAUUAAAACGUUGGUCUGGCUCAUAAAAAUGACAUUAGAUAAUUAAAUAGCAAUAGUCUUAGAAAUUUUCAAAGCUUAAUUUCAGAUAUAUAUGGUAGUGUGUGAGCAAAUUUAAUGUAACUCAAUGCUACUUUAGGAACUUUAGAACAAGCAAAGUGGCUUAGAGGUACUAAAGAAAUUUCUUCUGAUGGUAGAGGUCCUAUUUCCAGUUUUAUGUGAACAAGUUUUUCUAAUGUAAAAAGAUAUAAAAUUUUAAAUUUUGGGAAUUACUUCUUAAAUUUGUAUCAUAAUUUUCAACAUCUAAACCUGGAAAUAUAACUUGAAGUAAAUUGUAUGGUAUUUACUAACUACUGGCCAGUCAUCUUUUUUUUAGGACUCUUGUUUUUUCUUAGAUUCUGUAUUUUUUUGAGCUCGUGAUUCUGAUCCUGCAGACCUAGGUUAAUGUUUUUCUGAUCAGUGAAGUUUUAAAAAAAAAAAAAAAAAAAAAAAAAAAACACAAAAACAUUGCAAUGGAGAUUUCAUCUGCGAAAAGCUACGAGGCCUUUAUUAAUUGUUAUGUGUGCACACUCUUGUUAUGUGUUAUAUGUCGGUAUGUCUGUAUGUGUAUAUGUCCAUAUAUCCUGCAGUGAUAUAACAAUUGACAGAUGAGGAGCGCUCAUAAAAAAAAAAAAAAUUAAAAAUAGAUCCAAAUAUCUUUAAUUCACGUGAUUCAAACUGUUCAAUUUAGAUUGGGUAAACAGAUAAAAAUAAAGAUGUCCUCAAAAUUAAGCUUAUAAGUUUCUCUAGGUGUUCAAAAAGGCCCUAAUAAAAUGUUAACUCUGCUUAAAUUUAAAAGUUUACAAGUAUUGUUUCAAAAUGUGAACAAAAGGAGGUUUAUGUAAUUAUGGUGUUAUUAAUGUGUUCAUAUCUUCCAGGUAUACAAGUCUGUAAGGUAGAAGCUUCAAAAGAACAUUAUAUCAAGCUGGUGUUCUAAAGUUGUAUGGUAAUUUUAGGCUUAAAAAAAAAAACAUGUUAGAGAUUCAAUUAUAUCAUUUGUGUUCUAUAACUGAACUUGUUAUCAAUAAGAUAUGUACUGUUCCAUGUUACUUUCUACUCUAAGAUACAAUUUAUGUAUUUUUAAGUUAAUAAGAGCCUAAUCUGUGUGAAGGUUUUAUUGCAAAACACAAAAGUACAUUACUACUUUUCUACAAGAGGUUAAAAGCUUUCAGCCUUUAAUUCAUGUUUUAAGUGUGAUAUUAUGUUGUGUUAGCUAAAGUUCAUGUAAACUUGAACAACAAUUUAUGUAAACUUUGUAAAAUGAUCAGCUUCAGAACUAUAGUACUUGAGAUUUAUAAAGAGCCCUGCCUUACUUGAGAUAAGGCUCUGUCCCAUCUCACUACAUGUGAAAGUGGCUAUAAAAGAAGUAAGCCAGAUUUCAGUACAGUUAAAGUUGUGUCCAAAAGUAGGUUUUUGCCAAGAUUACUAGGAUCUCAAACAGGAAAUUAUGAUGUAUAACCCUGCCAGAAUUCAAGGUAGCUAUUAUAUAAGCUAAAUAUGUUUUUACCCUAGCUAGUUUUGUUUUGUAGUUUGCUUAUAGAUGGUUUAAGGAUUGCCUGUUAAUGUUUUAAAGAGAUAUUGCUUUAAGAACACAACCUGGGUCAACAUAAGAUAAGGAGUUAUCACCUACAGGAUAAAGAGAUAGACAUUAAAGCCCAGUGCUCUUAAUAUAAGGCUGUUAACUUAUUUGCUGGAUGUUUAAGAUCAAGUUUUUAAAAUUAGUUAAAUUAAAAGGGCCAAAAAAACCCAAUAUUUGGCUCUUGCCCUCUGAGUCAGUCUGAAUCAGGGAAUAGGGGACUUCUCCAAAGGGCUCAGCAACUCUAGGCCACAUAACCUCCUGAGCAGGGAGAUUAAUGAGACCAGUGGAGGACAGAAAGCCAAUCGGUGCAUUUGCUGUAAAGAGGAGGGUCAUUAAAAAAGGAAGACAUCCCUGAUGCUUCUGAGGGAAGCCAUAUGGUCAAGCAAGGCCUGGACCCAUCCUAGCGCAAAUGGCACUAGCAGAACUGAAAAGCUGCUAUGAAGUUCCCGAGGACUCCCAGGAUAACUCAGCUGACUGUAAACAAUAGGUAGAAACAAAAGUCAGUUUGACUUGCUUCAUCUUAAACACUUAGCAAAGACAGUCAAAGCCAAAGCACAGCUGUUCCUGGACAUCUUAAAUGAUAAUAAUAGUUAAAUGUAACUUCCAUAAAUAAGUAGACUGGAGGCUACAAAAGAGAUUCUUAGACAGAAAUGCCUGAUAACUGUCAAAGGGACUGCUAGAGUAGUUUUAGUCUAAGGCCUUUAUUUCUAGCCAACGCAGGUAGGCUUGAUGUUUGCUAAUAUGGUUAUCCAGCCCUAAGUAGCAGAAUUAAAGAUUUCUCUAUUAGACACAGAGGUCAUACUAGUAAAAGGAUUUUGCAGGAUCAGAUGGCAUUAAAUUAUUAAACUAUAUCUUAAAGGAAAAGACAUCUGUAACCCUACAUGUUAGUUGUUGUGUUGACAUCCCUGACAUUUCUGACAAUGUGACAAAUAUCCUUAAAGAUUUACCUGCUCAGAUGGAAGCCAUGUCCUCAGCAACUUUUUCGUGGAAACAAUAUACUAGCUCCUAGUUCCUGGUACUGCCUGAUGAAAAACAUUGUUAAUCUUUGUCUUGGCCAUUAUAUUCAUUGGCAUAUUUCUGUGCUGUGGCAUUUAUUACUGCAUCAAUAUGGUUCCAGUACUAAUAAGUUCUUGUUUCUCUUAUAGACCACCCAUCACUCAAAUGGCCCUCCAACCUAUUACUUCUCAAUUAGACUUUCAUCAUGGACCACUCGAUAGACCCGAUAUUUUUAAGGGGGACUCCAAACUGCUUGCCCCACGCCGUCCCUUUUCAGCCUGAAGAAGCCAGAAAGAUUCUCUUCGUCCCCCUUCCUCACAGCAGAACCUAUAGGAAAAACAAGUUUACCCUUUAAGUGACCUAUAUGCUGGAUUCAAAAGAGCCAAUGAGAUACCUGUUACUGUGCUAGGAGGGAAACUGACCACUGUACCCUAUAAAAGAUCUGUACCCCAAAGCCCGGUGUGCCAGUUCACCGAAGCUCCGGCUGAGGUUUCGCUGAGCACCCGCAGGCGCCUGUGUAGCAAUAAAUCACCUCUUGCGUUUGCA